UCUAAUUAUAUGACCAGCACCUGUAUACUAGAAGAAAUAUGAUUAUAUCUAAAUGUAGAAUUGCAAUUCUAAUAUGUGGCUGCCUUAUUUCUUUGCUUCCAAACAUUAAACCACACAUACACACACAAAAAAAAAAAUUCUUAUGAAAAACCACAGGGAGACCUUAAAGCUUUUCUUUUAUUAACAACAUAUACAUAACACUCAUUAUAAAUUUGGGUAGAUCAGGGGUGCAAAACUCAGGGCCUCUGACCUGCAAAGUUUAGUCCCAACCCUACUCCAACACACAUACCAGGUUUUCAAAUAAGCCUGAAGGUUUUCUAUGAGUGUAUGCACACCGGCGGCGACAUUCGGCGUCUGUCCGCUGCGUCCAGCUACGACUCAGGAUGCUGUUCAAAAUUCUUGCCAUGCCAGAGAGCGCCAUCUGCAUAGUUUUAUAUUAAAUAACAUCAUAUUUGUUUCAAAUCAUUGUUUGUACAUUAUACCAAGAUACGACUGCUGCAAUAUACUUGCAUUAGUUUUACAGCUUGAAUAAAAUGUAAACAUAUAUAAUUAAAUGUAUAAUAAACAUAGUCCGUUUAAUCUUUUAUUUUUCCUCCUUGAGACAUUUUUACAUACGCAAAAUAUUACAGUAUUGGCCUGUGUAACAUUUGCCUGUCGUGAUUACAUUCACUGUCGUCGGCAGCCACCUACUGGAUUUACCAGGUCACAACCGUCACAACACACUUCUGGUAAUUUAAAUAGCGGAGUAGCGUACUGCGAUGGACGAUGAAAAACUAAUCAACGAAGUUGGGAAAUACCCAGAAUUAUAUGCAAUAAACCAUAGAUUCUUCAAAGACAACAUAAGGAAGUCAUCAGCGUGGAGGAAGAUUGCCGAUAUCAUCGGUUUUUCAGGGCACCUGUGAUGCCAAGGCCUGCAGCAUCCUAUUGCAAUCAUGACCCCAUACCGCCAGUCUGUCGCAUGCCAAGUUGAAGCCCGAUACGACAGGCAUCACGCACUAGCAAGAAACAUCAUCGAGCACACCUUCAGGAUGUUAAUAUGCACUGGUGUGCCAUUUUCUUGAGGGCCAUGAAGAUCAGGCCACUGUUUGCGCCAAAGGUGAUUGGUGCCUGCUGCAUCCUUCACAACAUUUGCGUGAUGGGAGAUGAUCUAAGGAAGAGGAGGAGGAAAGCCAUGGACAAGAAGGCAGCGAGGAUGACAUGGAGAAUGCACCAGUGGAUGAAAGGGACCUGUCAGGGAACCAUCUCAGAGGACGUCGUGCCGCUCAGCUUUCUUCUCCUGAGGAACUGCCUGCAUGUCUGAGUGAACAUGACUAUAUAUAGACAGUAGCCUAAACCUUUCCAGAUGAUGCCAUGUUCACUAAAAGAUGAACAUAAACAGUUUAACAUAGUUUACAUAUUAGAUCAAAUAU